rnacentral:rRNA from 1 species
UACGUAGGGCGCAAGCGUUGUCCGGAAUCAUUGGGCGUAAAGAGCUCGUAGGUGGUCUGUUACGUCUGCUGUGAAAACCUAGGGCUUAACCCUGGGCCUGCAGUGGAUACGGGCAGACUAGAGGUAGGUAGGGGAGAAUGGAAUUCCCGGUGUAGCGGUGAAAUGCGCAGAUAUCGGGAGGAACACCGGUGGCGAAGGCGGUUCUCUGGGCCUUACCUGACACUGAGGAGCGAAAGCUAGGGGAGCAAACAGG